ACCUGUUGUCGGAAUUCGGCCAAGACCGGCCACGGGAAUUUGAUGUUCUUUAUCGAUUUUACAUUCCUAUCAGCAGUUAUCAUGGGGAGGUGAAUCAAAAUUGUUAUUUCUGUCUUUGCGAUGUUAAAGAAAAAGAUGAGUUCAGAGAGCUGAGGUGCAAACAUGUCUUCCACAAAGAUUGCUUGGACAAGUGGGUACUUUAUGGUCAGGAAAACUGACCGUUGUGUCAGAAUUGUUUGACGGCAGCCGCAAUGAAUGUUCCUUUAAAGCUAAAUAAUAAAUAGGUAACAUAGAAUCCAAUUAGAUUUCUGAUUGGAGUUUUACUAUCUUGAGAUUAAAAAAAUUACCCUUUGCAAAAAAAAAUAUAUUAUCGAAUAAAUUAAACAUGCAUGCCUAAGGGCUAGUCACUACUAGAAAAGACACCUUGUAUGGUUAAGAAAAGUCAUCCGUGGCGGAAAUCCAUCACGAUAAGUCCGUUACGAGGAAAUCCAUCAUGACAAUGGUUGAACUGCCACGAAAAAUCUGCCACCUAUUUCUCCCCCCUGAUUUCCAACCGAAAAAAUUAUCAAUGGUAGAAAUCCGUCACAAGUUCGCAAGAUUUUCGCGGGAACCAAAAAUACAAAACUUUUCGUGGCAAAAGUCCGUCAUACAAGGUCAUUUUUCGUAGUUAGCGGCGAGAAUGGACCGAGGUCGACCUGAGUCACGAUUGUUAAGGUUGGAUUACAUGUCUAAUUUUCCGGCCCUAAAAUUUGAUAUUGACCUGCCUCCUGGUGACUCGAUCGAGACAUAAUGACAUGACUAUUUUUCAAAUCAGGUCGGGUUUGGGAAGCCCGAACAAGGGUAUUAUAAUUUAAU
rnacentral:lncRNA from 1 species